rnacentral:rRNA from 1 species
UACGUAGGGGGCAAGCGUUGUCCGGAUUUACUGGGCGUAAAGAGCGUGUAGGCGGCCACGCAGGUCCGUUGUGAAAACUGAAGGCUCGACCUCCAGACGUCGACGGAAACCGUAUGGCCAGAGUCCGGAAGAGGAGAGUGGAAUUCCUGGUGUAGCGGUGAAAUGCGCAGAUAUCAGGAAGAACACCAAUGGCGAAGGCAGCUCUCUGGGACGGUACUGACGCUGAGACGCGAAAGCGUGGGGAGCGAACAGG